CCUACGGGAGGCAGCAGUGGGGAAUAUUGCACAAUGGGGGAAACCCUGAUGCAGCGACGCCGCGUGAGUGAAGAAGUAAUUCGUUAUGUAAAGCUCUAUCAGUAGGGAAGAAAAUGACGGUACCUGAGUAUGAAGCCCCGGCUAACUACGUGCCAGCAGCCGCGGUAAUACGUAGGGGGCAAGCGUUAUCCGGAUUUACUGGGUGAAAAGGGAGCGUAGACGGCAGUGCAAGUCUGGAGUGAAAGGCGGGGGCUCAACCCCCGGACUGCUCUGGAAACUGUACGGCUGGAGUGCAGGAGAGGUAAGUGGAAUUCCUGGUGUAGCGGUGAAAUGCGUAGAUAUUAGGAGGAACACCAGUGGCGAAGGCGGCUUACUGGACUGUAACUGACGUUGAGGCUCGAAAGCGUGGGGAGUAAACAGGAUUAGAUACCCUUGUAGUC
rnacentral:rRNA from 1 species